UACGUAGGGGGCAAGCGUUAUCCGGAUUUACUGGGUGUAAAGGGAGCGUAGACGGUGUGGCAAGUCUGAUGUGAAAGGCAUGGGCUCAACCUGUGGACUGCAUUGGAAACUGUCAUACUUGAGUGCCGGAGGGGUAAGCGGAAUUCCUAGUGUAGUGGUGAAAUGCGUAGAUAUUAGGAGGAACACCAGUGGCGAAGGCGGCUUACUGGACGGUAACUGACGUUGAGGCUCGAAAGCGUGGGGAGCAAACAGG
rnacentral:rRNA from 1 species